rnacentral:rRNA from 1 species
AGAGUUUGAUCCUGGCUCAGAUUGAACGCUGGCGGCAUGCCUUACACAUGCAAGUCGAACGGCAGCACGGAGCUUGCUCUGGUGGCGAGUGGCGAACGGGUGAGUAAUAUAUCGGAACGUACCCUAGAGUGGGGGAUAACGUAGCGAAAGUUACGCUAAUACCGCAUACGAUCUAAGGAUGAAAGUGGGGGAUCGCAAGACCUCAUGCUCGUGGAGCGGCCGAUAUCUGAUUAGCUAGUUGGUAGGGUAAAAGCCUACCAAGGCAUCGAUCAGUAGCUGGUCUGAGAGGACGACCAGCCACACUGGAACUGAGACACGGUCCAGACCCCUACGGGAGGCAGCAGUGGGGAAUUUUGGACAAUGGGCGAAAGCCUGAUCCAGCAAUGCCGCGUGAGUGAAGAAGGCCUUCGGGUUGUAAAGCUCUUUUGUCAGGGAAGAAACGGUGAGAGCUAAUAUCUUUUGCUAAUGACGGUACCUGAAGAAUAAGCACCGGCUAACUACGUGCCAGCAGCCGCGGUAAUACGUAGGGUGCAAGCGUUAAUCGGAAUUACUGGGCGUAAAGCGUGCGCAGGCGGUUUUGUAAGUCUGAUGUGAAAUCCCCGGGCUCAACCUGGGAAUUGCAUUGGAGACUGCAAGGCUAGAAUCUGGCAGAGGGGGGUAGAAUUCCACGUGUAGCAGUGAAAUGCGUAGAUAUGUGGAGGAACACCGAUGGCGAAGGCAGCCCCCUGGGUCAAGAUUGACGCUCAUGCACGAAAGCGUGGGGAGCAAACAGGAUUAGAUACCCUGGUAGUCCACGCCCUAAACGAUGUCUACUAGUUGUCGGGUCUUAAUUGACUUGGUAACGCAGCUAACGCGUGAAGUAGACCGCCUGGGGAGUACGGUCGCAAGAUUAAAACUCAAAGGAAUUGACGGGGACCCGCACAAGCGGUGGAUGAUGUGGAUUAAUUCGAUGCAACGCGAAAAACCUUACCUACCCUUGACAUGGCUGGAAUCCCGGAGAGAUUUGGGAGUGCUCGAAAGAGAACCAGUACACAGGUGCUGCAUGGCUGUCGUCAGCUCGUGUCGUGAGAUGUUGGGUUAAGUCCCGCAACGAGCGCAACCC